UGGCGGAUCUAUAUCCACAGCCUAUAUCGUUUUUAGCCAUCACAUCACCAAUGGUGUUGAAGGUUUCUGGCAUUUUGUCUGCAUUGAUGAAAGCCAUAUGUGAUGGGAAUGAUGACAGCUGAGAAGCUUGGCCAUGUGAUAACACUGCUUGCAGCCUGUGCGUGUUUGGUGGGCGCUGAUACCGGUAUAACUUGUUACAACUCAACCAGCCAGGCCACUUUCAAAUCUCAUGACAUCACUGUUUUUCAAGGUGCAGAAACAAUCGGCUGUGAAGACGGUUUUGGCUGUUCGAAAACUGUGAUCACUAAAGGAGGUCAAACUGUUGGAGUCACCCGAGGCUGUGGAAUAUAUGGUUGCCUUGGUAAAUCCUGCUUUCUCCUUCAUGGUCAUCGCCUGUGCCUUUAUUGCUGCAAAAAGCCACAGUGUAACAGUGCUGUAGUUGUGACCUCUGAACUGACAAUGCUUUCUUUGUCUGUGAUUGCCAGUUGGACACUAAGAAAACAUUAAGAAAACCAUUUGAUAGUGUGUUAGGCCUGGAGAUUUGAUGGAUCAUUACCUUUGGGAGACACUUCAAAUGUGGCCAUGUCCGACAACCUCAAAGGAUAAGUUGCAUCACAUUCACUGUUAAAAAAGGCGGACAACCAACGUGGCAUCGGUGUCACAAACUCUUAACUUUUGAGCACCAUGUUUAUGAUGAGUGAUGCAGUGCAGCAGGCAUGGCAGGUGGCCAUAGAAGAUGCAGUGAACUACUUUACCUGGCCAAUGGAUGCUUUGUCUUAUGAAACAAUAGAUGAAGAGGCUGUGAUUUUAUUUCGCCACCUGAUGCCAUUUUUCAAGAGACAAUGGUAACUGCUGUGAUACUGAAUUUUUCUGAUGUUAAAUGUGGUGGUGGUAAAAACAUUUUCCUACUGACUGUGAAAGACAUGUCACCAAACAUCGUUUGUCACACAAUAUAGGAGGCACUGGCUGAAGCAAAUCCUAUUCAUAUGCCCAAGUCACACUUGGGGCAAUAUUGUACUCAAUUUUGUCUUUCAGAAUGUCGGUGUGUUUGCAAAAUCAAGAUGUGCCUGUCCACUACCAUAACUUGCCUCAAUUUUACAAAAAUGAUAUCUUUUAACAAACUUCUGAAAGGAUGCAUCUAUGUACAUGUAUGUAAUCUGUCCAUUAAUGCCAACUCCCUUGUGCUCCUUAUGCAUUGUGCAUGUAGUUGUUAUACAUGGGGGCAUUCUGUAUAUUUGGGGUCCGAUUUUUUCCUGUCCGUUACAUCUGACAUGGGUUUGUAAGUUUAGAACAUAUCCAUUAAUUUCCAAGAGUAUUUAAGUGAUGUUAAUCAAAUAAGGAAUAGUUUGAAAUCGAUUUCAGUGGUAUCCCCUGUCAAAUUUCACAUAUUACAUGCAGGUGUAACACUGAAAAAUAUGUCAGACCCUAAAUUUGCAGAAUGCCGCAUUUGUCCAGGGAAGCACACAAACCUUUCGUGGUCAUCCACAUCAAUUAUCAAAAUAAGUCAUUUUUUUCCGUCUAAUGUUUGCCUCGGUUUGUGGUCCAUGAAAGACAACUGCGCCCACAUGUAAAUCUAUAUGAUAUUAUUUAACCUUAAAGAAUGGCUUAUCGUAAAGUUUACUCAUAUUAAUGGGGAAAAAAUGAAUUUAUUCAAUGGUUUAAAGUCAUUUCAGACUGACCUCUUUAUUCAGUACUAACGUUGAUGCUUAACGAUGCAGUCAUAACUCAUUGUGCCUUUUCCUAAAAAAGGUUCGAAUAUAUAAUCUGUGAAGUUAAUAUUUCUGUCUUUAGUGUCCCUGUAAUAAAUUUGUACAAUGAUGGACUUCUUAGAAA
rnacentral:misc_RNA from 1 species